GACGAACGCUGGCGGCGUGCUUAACACAUGCAAGUCGAACGGAAAGGCCCUGCUUUUGUGGGGUGCUCGAGUGGCGAACGGGUGAGUAACACGUGAGUAACCUGCCCUUGACUUUGGGAUAACUUCAGGAAACUGGGGCUAAUACCGGAUAGGAGCUCCUGCUGCAUGGUGGGGGUUGGAAAGUUUCGGCGGUUGGGGAUGGACUCGCGGCUUAUCAGCUUGUUGGUGGGGUAGUGGCUUACCAAGGCUUUGACGGGUAGCCGGCCUGAGAGGGUGGCCGGCCACAUUGGGACUGAGAUACGGCCCAGACUCCUACGGGAGGCAGCAGUGGGGAAUAUUGCACAAUGGGCGGAAGCCUGAUGCAGCAACGCCGCGUGCGGGAUGACGGCCUUCGGGUUGUAAACCGCUUUCGCCUGUGACGAAGCGUGAGUGACGGUAAUGGGUAAAGAAGCACCGGCUAACUACGUGCCAGCAGCCGCGGUGAUACGUAGGGUGCGAGCGUUGUCCGGAUUUAUUGGGCGUAAAGGGCUCGUAGGUGGUUGAUCGCGUCGGAAGUGUAAUCUUGGGGCUUAACCCUGAGCGUGCUUUCGAUACGGGUUGACUUGAGGAAGGUAGGGGAGAAUGGAAUUCCUGGUGGAGCGGUGGAAUGCGCAGAUAUCAGGAGGAACACCAGUGGCGAAGGCGGUUCUCUGGGCCUUUCCUGACGCUGAGGAGCGAAAGCGUGGGGAGCGAACAGGCUUAGAUACCCUGGUAGUCCACGCUGUAAACGGUGGGUACUAGGUGUGGGGUCCAUUCCACGGGUUCCGUGCCGUAGCUAACGCUUUAAGUACCCCGCCUGGGGAGUACGGCCGCAAGGCUAAAACUCAAAGGAAUUGACGGGGCCCCGCACAAGCGGCGGAGCAUGCGGAUUAAUUCGAUGCAACGCGUAGAACCUUACCUGGGUUUGACAUGGAUCGGGAGCGCUCAGAGAUGGGUGUGCCUCUUUUGGGGUCGGUUCACAGGUGGUGCAUGGCUGUCGUCAGCUCGUGUCGUGAGAUGUUGGGUUAAGUCCCGCAACGAGCGCAACCCUUGUUCACUGUUGCCAGCACGUUAUGGUGGGGACUCAGUGGAGACCGCCGGGGUCAACUCGGAGGAAGGUGGGGAUGACGUCAAGUCAUCAUGCCCCUUAUGUCCAGGGCUUCACGCAUGCUACAAUGGCUGGUACAGAGAGUGGCGAGCCUGUGAGGGUGAGCGAAUCUCGGAAAGCCGGUCUCAGUUCGGAUUGGGGUCUGCGACUCGACCUCAUGAAGUCGGAGUCGCUAGUAAUCGCAGAUCAGCAACGCUGCGGUGAAUAGGUUCCCGGG
rnacentral:rRNA from 1 species